rnacentral:rRNA from 1 species
UACGAAGGGGGCUAGCGUUGCUCGGAAUUACUGGGCGUAAAGGGAGCGUAGGCGGACAUUUAAGUCAGGGGUGAAAUCCCAGAGCUCAACUCUGGAACUGCCUUUGAUACUGGGUGUCUUGAGUGUGAGAGAGGUAUGUGGAACUCCGAGUGUAGAGGUGAAAUUCGUAGAUAUUCGGAAGAACACCAAUGGCGAAGGCGACAUACUGGCUCAUUACUGACGCUGAGGCUCGAAAGCGUGGGGAGCAAACAGG